GGUAAUUGUAAAACAAUUGACCAUUCUGACGUGUAACCCUUUGCCGUACCUUGCAAAGUUUAUUAGGAAGAAGAUGGUGCAGUUUGUGUUGCGGGUCAGACAUUUUACUGAUAAGAUCAAUGCACAUAGUAUUGCAACGUUGUUAGAUUAGCAGGAAUGAUGAGACAUAUCAUGUGGUUGUACUUAAUAUUGACUAUGACUUAAUAUUGACUAAUUGUGAUGUUGGUACAGCCUAUAGCUACCCAGAUACUGUUAUUACAUGACUAGAGUGAAUAGCUUAAAACGUAAAUUUGAUUACUAAUUUCAAACUGCAAGCUAGGGUAGUGAACCAUUACAGAAAGCGUGGGGAGGACCAUUCUCGUCCCCAGAGUCAUUUUUACUCGGUCACUCGUUGAAAAU